GUGUUCGCUUUGGAAAUACCUAUACUAAAAUUGCAACUAUGCAGAAAAAACUAGCAUUGCCCUAGUACAAGGAUGACAUGCACCUUCAUGAAGCAUUCCAUAUUUCU